rnacentral:rRNA from 1 species
CGAACGCUGGCGGCGUGCUUAACACAUGCAAGUCGAGCGAUGAAGCACCUUCGGGUGUGGAUUAGCGGCGAACGGGUGAGGAACACGUGAAGAAUCUGCCUUCAACUCUGGGAUAACUCCGGGAAACCGGGGCUAAUACCGGAUAUGAGCCUUGGCCGCAUGGCCGGGGCUGGAAAGUUUUUCGGUUGAAGAUGACUUCGCGGCCUAUCAGCUUGUUGGUGAGGUAAUGGCUCACCAAGGCGACGACGGGUAGCCGGCCUGAGAGGGCGACCGGCCACACUGGGACUGAGACACGGCCCAGACUCCUACGGGAGGCAGCAGUGGGGAAUAUUGGACAAUGGGCGAAAGCCUGAUCCAGCAAUGCCGCGUGAGUGAUGAAGGCCUUAGGGUUGUAAAGCUCUUUUACCAGGGAUGAUAAUGACAGUACCUGGAGAAUAAGCUCCGGCUAACUCCGUGCCAGCAG